GGGCGUUAAGUUGCAGGGUAUAGACCCGAAACCCGGUGAUCUAGCCAUGGGCAGGUUGAAGGUUGGGUAACACUAACUGGAGGACCGAACCGACUAAUGUUGAAAAAUUAGCGGAUGACUUGUGGCUGGGGGUGAAAGGCCAAUCAAACCGGGAGAUAGCUGGUUCUCCCCGAAAGCUAUUUAGGUAGCGCCUCGUGAAUUCAUCUCCGGGGGUAGAGCACUGUUUCGGCAAGGGGGUCAUCCCGACUUACCAACCCGAUGCAAACUGCGAAUACCGGAGAAUGUUAUCACGGGAGACACACGGCGGGUGCUAACGUCCGUCGUGAAGAGGGAAACAACCCAGACCGCCAGCUAAGGUCCCAAAGUCAUGGUUAAGUGGGAAACGAUGUGGGAAGGCCCAGACAGCCAGGAUGUUGGCUUAGAAGCAGCCAUCAUUUAAAGAAAGCGUAAUAGCUCACUGGUCGAGUCGGCCUGCGCGGAAGAUGUAACGGGGCUAAACCAUGCACCGAAGCUGCGGCAGCGACACUGUGUGUUGUUGGGUAGGGGAGCGUUCUGUAAGCCUGUGAAGGUGUGCUGUGAGG
rnacentral:rRNA from 1 species